rfam:Loxodonta africana unplaced genomic scaffold scaffold_143, whole genome shotgun sequence.
GAUGAAGUGACCAAGUGGUUAAGGUGAUGGACUGCUAAUCCAUUGUGCACUGCAUGCCUGGGUCCAUAAUUCCAUCCUUGUCC